GUAGGCUGAAACUCGCCUACCAUGAAGCUGGAAUUGCUAGUAAUCACAGGUCAGCAUACUGUGGUGAAUACGUUCCCGGGCCUUGUACACACCGCCCGUCACACCAUGAGAGUUGAGAAUACCCGAAGCCCAUGUCAAAGUGGUCGAAGGUAGGCUUGAUGAUUGGGGUGAAGUCGUAACAAGGUAGC
rnacentral:rRNA from 1 species